UACAGAGGGGGCGAGCGUUGUUCGGAAUUACUGGGCGUAAAGGGCGCGUAGGCGGCCUUCUAAGUCGGACGUGAAAUCCCUCGGCUCAACCGAGGAACUGCGUCCGAUACUGGUUGGCUUGAAUUCGGGAGAGGGAUGCGGAAUUCCAGGUGUAGCGGUGAAAUGCGUAGAUAUCAGGAGGAACACCGGUGGCGAAGGCGGGUCUCUGGGCAACAACUGACGCUGAGGAGCGAAAGCGUGGGGAGCGAACAGG
rnacentral:rRNA from 1 species